GUCCAGCUUCUUCCACUGAGGAGUCAAUCGGGCCUCUGACUGGGCAAAGCUGAUAGACUGAGAGUGUUAGCUAAUGCUCUUACCACUGGCUCCCUAUUCAUAAAAUCAAUGCUCUCAGCAUAUUCACUGACUUGAAGUUGUUAUAGUGCCCAAAGCCUAGCUUCUAGCUAUAUCACUAACUCCUCAAUUGCACACACCUAAAAUCUAUUUUAGCAUUAUGCCCAGAGUUACAGGAUUAUAU